UACGGGGGGAGCAAGCGUUGUUCGGAUUUACUGGGCGUAAAGGGCGCGUAGGCGGCCACUGCAAGUCGGUUGUGAAAUCUCCGAGCUUAACUCGGAAAGGUCAACUGAUACUGCGCGGCUAGAGUGCAGAAGGGGCAACUGGAAUUCUCGGUGUAGCGGUGAAAUGCGUAGAUAUCGAGAGGAACACCUGCGGCGAAGGCGGGUUGCUGGGCUGACACUGACGCUGAUGCGCGAAAGCCAGGGGAGCGAACGGG
rnacentral:rRNA from 1 species